rnacentral:rRNA from 1 species
GAUGAACGCUGGCGGCGUGCCUAAUACAUGCAAGUCGAACGCUUCACUUCGGUGAAGAGUGGCGAACGGGUGAGUAAUACAUAAGUAACCUGGCAUCUACAGGGGGAUAACUGAUGGAAACGUCAGCUAAGACCGCAUAGGUGUAGAGAUCGCAUGAACUCUAUAUGAAAAGUGCUACGGGACUGGUAGAUGAUGGACUUAUGGCGCAUUAGCUGGUUGGUAGGGUAACGGCCUACCAAGGCGACGAUGCGUAGCCGACCUGAGAGGGUGACCGGCCACACUGGGACUGAGACACGGCCCAGACUCCUACGGGAGGCAGCAGUAGGGAAUUUUCGGCAAUGGGGGAAACCCUGACCGAGCAACGCCGCGUGAAGGAAGAAGUAAUUCGUUAUGUAAACUUCUGUCAUAGAGGAAGAACGGUGGAUAUAGGGAAUGAUAUCCAAGUGACGGUACUCUAUAAGAAAGCCACG